GGGGAUUUAGCUCAGUGGUAGAGCGCCUGCCUAGCAAGCACAAGGCCCUGGGUUCGGUCCCCAGCUCA
rnacentral:tRNA from 1 species